rnacentral:rRNA from 1 species
CCUACGGGUGGCAGCAGUGAGGAAUAUUGGUCAAUGGACGAGAGUCUGAACCAGCCAAGUAGCGUGAAGGAUGACUGCCCUAUGGGUUGUAAACUUCUUUUAUAUGGGAAUAAAACGUUCCACGUGUGGGAUUUUGUCUGUACCAUAUGAAUAAGGAUCGGCUAACUCCGUGCCAGCAGCCGCGGUAAUACGGAGGAUCCGAGCGUUAUCCGGAUUUAUUGGGUUUAAAGGGAGCGUAGGUGGAUUGUUAAGUCAGUGGUGAAAGUUUGCGGCUCAACCGUAAAAUUGCAGUUGAAACUGGCAGUCUUGAGUACAGUAGAGGUAGGCGGAAUGCGUGGUGUAGCGGUGAAAUGCUUAGAUAUCACGAAGAACUCCGAUUGCGAAGGCAGUUCACUGGACUGCAACUGACACUGAGGCUCGAAAGUGUGGGUAUCAAACAGGAUUAGAUACCCGUGUAGUC